ensembl:lincRNA
AAACUAGAAUACGGGGCGGGACUUACAGGUUGCGUUCAAUGUGUUCGGUUGGUUUUCAGCACUAGCAGUGGAUCAUUUUUUAUUUUAUGAACAUUGUCAACAUUAGAGUCUCGGGCUGAUGUCUCUCCGCAAAACUCUAACGUUACCCAGAUUUGGGUUCGCGGCUCGUGACCGAAGUUUUAGAAAUUUGGUGACCUCCACUUGUCGCUAUCAUCAAACCAAAACAAACACACAAGAGGAGUCCGUUAACAGCAGUGAGCAUGACUCCUUCAAUAGCAAGAUCUCCAUCGACUUUGAACUGACCAGAGAAGCCUACAAGAGCAAAGACACUCUUGAGCUGCUGAGAAGCUUGGUCGUUUUCAAACUGUGCUCCUAUGACAUACUGGUCGAUAAGAAUAAAGAGAUAAUAGACCUCAGCAGGAAGCUCUUGGGCCAGAAAAUGUUUGAGCAGUUUAUGAAGAUGACGUUCUACGGUCAGUUUGUGGCAGGCGAGGACCAUCAGUCCAUCAGGCCGGUCGUACAGAAGAACCAGGCGUAUGGAGUGGGAGCUGUGCUGGAUUACAGUGUAGAAGAGGAUCUCUCACAGGAAGAGGCUGAAAGGAAAGAAAUGGAGUAAGUUUUGAUGUAAACAAGAUCAAACGACCAGGUUUCAAAUAAUAUUAACCCAAAAACUUUAAUUCUGUCAUUGUUUAUUCGCUCUAUACUUGUUCCAAGUCUAUUAGUGUUUUUCUUUUCUUCUGUUGAACACAAAAUAUGAUGUUUUGAAGAGUGCUGAAAACUUUUAACCAUUAACUUCAAUUAUAUUUGCAAUUCUUUGCAUGGAUGCUGUUGCACACUGGUAUUUAAAAAAUCUAAAUACAUACAUAUUUACAUAUAAAUUAUGUAAAUUAUAUUAGAUUUUUUUAGGAGAUUGUUGUUGAAGAUUGUUGUUCUGCUAAUUAUUUCAAAGGGUUAACCUGUUUUGUCUGUUGAACACAAAAAAAAUAUAUUUCGAAGAAUGCUGAAAACCUGUAACCAUUGACUUGCAUUUUAUUUGCUUUUCUUAGCAUGGAAGUUGAUGUUGUAAAAAUGAGGAAAAAAGUUUACCUGGUCAUUUCAAACCUGUUUGAGUUUCUCUUUCUUCUGUUGAACACAAGUAGAUAUUUUGAGGAAUGCUGAACACCUGUAUCCAUUGACCUCAUUUUAUUUGCUUUUCCUAGCAUGGAUUUUGUAAUUGUAAUCAUUUACAAUAAAACAUUAAAUUAUUAAAUUAUUUAAAUUAUUUCAUCUUGAUAGUAGAAUGUUGUUCAAGAUGUUCAGUUGAUUAUCUUAAAGGCAUAGUUCACCUCAAAAUGAAAAAAAUAAAUUAAAUUACUCGUUUCGAACCUGUUUGAUUUUCUUUCUUCUGUUGAACACGCACACUAAAAAAGAUAUAUAAAAAUAUAUUGGAGACUUGUAACCAUUCACUUCCAUAGUAUUUGUCUUUCCUACUGAAGAUGUUUACAGUUUUUCAGCUUUCUUCCAAACAUCUUCUUUUCAGAGAUACUCUAAAGAUUUUGAAGGACUCGAUGGGAGAGUAAAUUGUCUUUUUUGGGUGAUCUAUCCCUUUAAUUCGUUUUCUGGCAUUUAUUUGCAGAGCACACAAGCCAAACUUGACUAAUUAAUGGGCAAAUAAAUAAAUCAGUGAUCAGUGUGUGAGUGGAAUAUAAAUGUGUGCAAUUAUUUUGUUCCAUAGCACUUGAUUAGCUUAAUUUAAAGCAGCUUGUUAAGUUUUUUUUUCUUUGUUGGUAUUUACUGUUUUCCAGUUUUUUUUUUGGGGGGGGGGGGGGCAAUCAUUAAAGUUUAUUUUUCCAUUUAAAGGGGACCUAUUAAGCACACAUCACCUUUAUAUGGGGUUUAAACAUUUCUGUGGCAGCAGUCUGUGAAUAUGACCAGCUUCUUUUAGUAAAAAUGUAUUGAUUUUAUUUUUUUAAAUUACACUUGAUAAAAACAGAAGCAGAAACACUUUGAUUGACAUUCUCCUUUUUGUA